rnacentral:rRNA from 1 species
UACGUAGGGUGCGAGCGUUGUCCGGAAUUACUGGGCGUAAAGAGCUCGUAGGUGGUUUGUCGCGUUGUUCGUGAAAUCCCACGGCUUAACUGUGGGCGUGCGGGCGAUACGGGCAGACUGGAGUACUGCAGGGGAGACUGGAAUUCCUGGUGUAGCGGUGGAAUGCGCAGAUAUCAGGAGGAACACCGGUGGCGAAGGCGGGUCUCUGGGCAGUAACUGACGCUGAGGCGCGAAAGCCAGGGGAGCAAACGGG